rnacentral:misc_RNA from 1 species
GAUGAAGAACGUAGCGAAAUGCGAUAAGUAAUGUGAAUUGCAGAAUUCAGUGAAUCAUCGAAUCUUUGAACGCACAUUGCGCCCGCCAGUAUUCUGGCGGGCAUGCCUGUUCGAGCGUCAUUUCAACCAUCAAGCCCCAGGCUUGUGUUGGGGACCUGCGGCUGCCGCAGGCCCUGAAAACCAGUGGCGGGCUCGCUAGUCACUCCGAGCGUAGUAAUACAUCUCGCUCAGGGCGUGCUGCGGGUUCCGGCCGUUAAAAGCCUUAUUUACCCAAGGUUGACCUCGGAUCAGGUAGGAAGACCCGCUGAACUUAAGCAUAUCAAUAAGCGGAGGA